AUGUGAACUUCCCUGAGGAGCUUGCAAUAGAUAUCAUUUUGCACUCCUUACCAUCGUGCUAUGAUCAGUUCCGCAUGACAUAUAACAUGAAUAAGGAAGAGGUAACACUCAGCAAACUUCAGGGUACGAAGGCUAGGACCCUUGAUGGCUCUUCUUCAAGUGGAACCAAGAAAGGUUUCAUCACUCCUUCUNACUCACCCCAUUCUAACUCUUGGGUCCUUGAUAAUGGUUGUGGUAUUCAUAUAUGUUCUGAUUUGUGGGGACUAAGAAGAAGUGAGAAUGUGGAGAAAGGAAGAAUAAACUUAAUCAUGGGGAAUAGGAAAGCUUUACCUGUCACCAAGGUUGGAGUUUAUACUUUAUCGCUAGGUAGUGGAUUUAGUUUAGAUUUGAAUAAGUGUUGUUAUUCGCCAAAAAUGGCAAGAAAUAUUAUUUCCUUUCACGCAUUGUAUUAACAUUGUUUCACCUUUUCAUUUGAUAAUGAAGUUGGUUCUAUUAAUGCUUUCUUUAAUAAUAUUCUUUAUUUUAAAGCAUUACCUUGUGAUGGCGUGUAUGAAACACUAUCUGUGGUUGAUAACUUAGGAAAUAAUGUAUUGUGUAUUGAUUCUGUUAAUAAUAACUUAGAUAAAGCAUCAUUAUGGCAUUGUCGUCUUGGACAUAUAAGCAAGAAACGCAUAGGCCAACUUCAAAAGGAUGGAGUCUUCGAGUCAUUUGACCUAAAGUCAGAUGAUAGUUGCGAAUCAUGCUUACUUGGAAAAAUAACAAAGUCACCCUUCACAGGUUCUUGUGAGAGGGGUGAAGGUUUGUUGGAUCUUGUACACACGGAUGUGUGUGGGCCCUUCAAACAUGCCAUAAUGGAUGUUAAUCAUUAUUGUUUGACUUUUACUGAUGAUUACAGUAAAUAUGGAUAUGUCUACUUAAUCAAGCAUAAGUCAGAGACUUUCGAGACGUUUAAGGAAUUUAAACAGGAUGUCGAGAAUCAAUUGGGCAGGAACAUUAAGAUGCUUCGAUCCGAUCGAGGUGGUGAGUAUCUUAGUUCAGAGUUCCUUGACUAUCUUAGGGAAUGUGGUAUUGUCUCACAAUUGACACCUCCCAUGACACCGCAGUUGAAUGGUGUGGCUGAGAGGCGUAAUCGAACCUUGUUGGAUAUGGUUCGUUCCAUGAUGAGUCGAGCUUCGCUACCAAUCUCAUUCUGGGGGUAUGCCUUAGAGACUGCCGCCCAUAUCCUUAAUCUAGUCCCUACAAAGAAAGUUGCCAAAACUCCUCAUGAGAUGUGGACUGGUAAAGUACCCAAACUAGACCACAUCAAGAUUUGGGGUUGCGAGGCUUUCGUGAGACGCGAGACUCAUGAUAAGCUCGAACCCCGAAGCGAGAGGUGUAUUUUCAUCGGCUACCCACAAUAAUCCUUUGGUUACCUCUUCUACAGACCUAGUGAAAAUGUGGUCUUUGUAGCUAGGAGGGCCUUCUUUAGAGAGAGAGAGAGAGAGAGAGAGAGAGAGAGAGAGAGAGAGAGUUCAUAAGCCAAGGAAACAGUGGGAGGCAAGUUGAUCUUGAAGAAAUUCAAGAGUCAAUUCAAACCCUAGCACUCAACUUGAGGAGGAAACUCCUGUUGAGCCAAUUGACAAGUCUGUACCUCUGAGGCAUUCCACAAGGGUUAGGAAUGCACCUGAGCAUUACUAUGGAUUACAUAUUACUGCAGAAGGUGAUACACUUAUCAAUGAUGAGACACUGAGCAUUACUAUGGAUUCCAUAUUCCAUAUUUGGGUUGCAUGGCAUCAUGCAUUUGGAUAGACUAAAUGAGAGAAAUAACACUUGUGGUUUAUUAAUAUUUUAUAAGUUCUAAUAUAUUAAAAGUAUAAUUUAAUUAGUAUUGAUCAAGAAUUAAUUUGGAAUUAAUUAAGUGAUCAAAAGAUGACUAAUUAAAUAUAUUGGUUGAUUAUGUAAAUCAUCCAUAAGUUGUAUAGUUGGCUAAAAGGCUCCAUGGAUUAUCAAGUUGGGUUAAACCCAUAGGAUGCUCCAUGGGAGUUACAAACCCAUAGGUCAUGGAAAUGAAGAGUAAUGACACGUUAGGAGUUUACAUGGUGUACCUCUAGAUGUGUCACACUAUAUAAGGAACAUGUUAUCUAGUAAAAUCGGCUACACAAAGGGAAUAAGAGGGCUAGGCCAAUUUUACAAGUGUGUGCAUUCUCUCAAGAGUCAUUCCAAAGGCAUUUGGUGUUGUGUGAAGCAUAUGAGGCAUCACACUUGGGGUGCUAGGCUCUCAAGGUUUUCAAGGAAUCAAAUCAACUAUAAGGAACGUAAUUCUAGCCAUCCUUUUAGGAUAAAAAUUCCCGAUGUAUGCUAGAUAGGAUUAUGAACCGUGGAAAUCAUAUUUUGCAUGUAUUUUAGAAAAACAUAGAUCCAAGGUUUAUUACGGUUGCACAUGACAUAUCACAUGAAUAAAGAAGAAGUCACACUCAGCAAACUUGAGGGAUUCCUAAAGACCGUAGAAACAAGUUUUAAAGGUAAGUCGGUUGUUAAGUCUCCUUCUCCUACUCCAAAAUCCACCCAUGUCUUGGCAAUCGGGAAAGGUAGAGGGAAGAAGAGAAAGGGCUCUUCGAAGGGUGCCAAGGCUAGGACCCUUGAUGGCUCUUCUUCAAGUGGAACCAAGAAAGGUUUCGUCACUCCUUCUUCUGACCCAAAAGAGGUUG
rnacentral:lncRNA from 1 species